rnacentral:rRNA from 1 species
CACGGAGUUAGCCGAUGCUUUUUCUUCGGGUACUCUCACUUGUGGCCUCACGAGGCCUUUUUGCUCCCCGACAAAAGAGGUUUACAGUCCAUAGGACCGUCUUCCCUCACGCGACUUGGCUGGUUCAGGCUCUCGCCCAUUGACCAAUAUUCCUCACUGCUGCCUCCCGUAGGAGUCUGGUCCGUGUCUCAGUACCAGUGUGGGGGACCUUCCUCUCAGAACCCCUACGCAUCGUCGCCUCGGUGGGCCGUUACCCCGCCGACUAGCUAAUGCGCCGCAUCGCCCAUCCGUAGCCGGAAUCCGCUUUCCUUUAAUCCCUCAGGGACUCGACCCCGAAAGAUAUUACGCGGUAUAGACGGUAAUUUCUCCGUCUUACUCCCCUGCCGUACGGCACGGUCGCAUACGUCGUUACUCACCCGUGCCGCCGGUCGCCGUCCGCAA